CCUACGGGAGGCAGCAGUAAGGAAUAUUGGACAAUGGUCGCAAGACUGAUCCAGCCAUGCCGCGUGAAGGAUGAAGGCCCUAUGGGUUGUAAACUUCUUUUGUAUGGGAAAAAACCCUUCUACGUGUAGAAGGCUGAUUGUACCAUAAGAAUAAGGAUCGGCUAACUCCGUGCCAGCAGCCGCGGUAAUACGGAGGAUCCAAGCGUUAUCCGGAUUCAUUGGGUUUAAAGGGUGCGUAGGCGGAAUGAUAAGUCAGUGGUGAAAUCCUGCAGCUUAACUGCAGGACUGCCAUUGAUACUGUCAAUCUUGAGUACAUUUGAUGUGGGCGGAAUGUGUCAUGUAGCGGUGAAAUGCUUAGAUAUGACACAGAACACCGAUUGCGAAGGCAGCUCACAAAACUGUAACUGACGCUGAGGCACGAAAGCGUGGGUAUCAAACAGGAUUAGAUACCCUGGUAGUCCACGCUGUAAACUAUGAUUACUCGUAUGUUGUGAGUACACUAGUAGUACGUCGUAGACGAAGAACGAGUAAGUUAAGUUACGUACCGUUACGGGUUAGGUACGGCGUUCGCGAGAGUUAGAACGUUACGAAGUUAGAAGUUAGUUACGGCGGUUGAGGACGUUACGGACCGAACGGACGACGACGACGGGGAACGGUUAAGGAAG
rnacentral:rRNA from 1 species